CCUGCCCCUGAUGGUUCAAUUGUUUGCGCAUAUUUUUUAUAGCUAGUCACCCAACUCCGCCUCGAGCCCUCGACUGCGGCGGCGAGGCGAUUGUGGCGUCAUUAGCACUGCCUCCAUUUUCUCCUACUGGCACCGCCGUCAGGACAUCUAGAUCCAGGUUAAUUGCAUCAGAACCCAUUGUUCCAGACUUUGGAAUUGAAGGAAGCAUCGACCGAAGUCAGAGACCCUCUCCGAAAAUAGAAGGAGCUGAUCUGUUGAUUAAUUGUGAGCAUAAUCUCCCAAUCUGAGCAUCUAGUGUUGAAUUUGCCGGUGGCCGUCAUUAUCGUACCCGUGUUCGAUCUCGCCCACGUCAGGGGACCACUCUUGGACACCUAGUUCCUCGUUUUUCUCCACUGCUGUGCUGACGAUGCCACCUUGGUGCCUCAUCCAACUGUGCGACUCUGUAGAGGCGCAUCGGAGCAGCGACAGCGGUAAGGGAGAGGAGAGACAUACUGGCUAGUGUAUGUGCUUUAGACUUAAGGAUCCACAUCCAUAAGGUAUAUCGUGGUUGAGCAGUAGGGGUUCUUGGUUUGGAUUGAUUAAUUUUCAUGUUGCGUUUUCCAGUAGAUAUCUCUGCUCAUGCUUAGAUAUGAGUGAAUUCAUUUCUUUUUGUUCCUUCCGACUUCCGUGCUAUGAUACUAUUCCUUCCCUGCUGCAAGGCUGCAAAUUACUUACUAUAGGUGAAUGGUAUUUUUGGCUGAGCAUUUUGGUUUCUGAGCCAGAUCUUUUGCAUGCAAAUUUAUAAGACCCAACAGAUUUAAUUGAUUUAUGCUGCAUAGUAUUUCCUCUUCAUAAUUUAUUAAUGUUGCCAAGUCUGUGUCAUCUUAUACUGGAUACUUGUAUUCUUGUAGGUGCACCCAUUGUUCCAACAAGUGAGAGCUGCAGAGAACAGCAGGACACACGCAUAACAAGCAAGGGCAGAGACACGCUAACCGAAUCAUCAGCUGGGCUCCAUCAAUCUUCAGUUGUAUAAUAGCGGUUGGGUCACUUGACGGGAACAAAAGGUUACGAGGGAGCCUCUGUUUUAGCCUGUCUUUGACUGCAUUGAGAAGGAAUCAGAUUAUGAGCUUGAGAUGUGAUUGCGAACAUUAUUUUCAUGUAAGUUGUUUGCCAUAAAACGUUAUCUGUUGGCAGAUUGUACUACUGUAUUAUUGAGCUUGUAAAGAAUUACCAACCUUUUGUUUGGACCCCAUCAAGCUCUCUCGUGGGCUAUUCUUACCUUAAGAAAUGUCGUGUUUUGUGGCA